UGCACAACUGGAAGACUUGUCUACAACAC
rnacentral:piRNA from 1 species